UGGCAGAAGGGGAGGGCGCGGUUCCUAGUCGAGCUGGCGGGAUUUAUCGCGUCAUCUGCACAAAAAACGCAGACCUAGAAUAGAAGUUACGGGCGGUCGGGCAAGUCAGGUCAGGUCAAAGUAGACCCUGUUACAAUACUGCCAUAUCUCACGUUCAGGAAUUUGUGGUUUAAUAUCGGUGUUAUAGAAAAUGUACAUUUAAAUGGAAUUGAGGUAAACAAUACUGAAACACGUGGCAGAAGCGGAGGGCGCGGUUCCUAGUUGAGCUGGCGGGAUUUAUCGCGUCAUCUGCACAAAAAACGCAGACCUAGAAUAGAAGUCAGGGGCGGUCGGGUCGGGUCAGGUCAGGUCAGGUCAAAGUAGACCCUGUUACAAUACUGCCAUAUCUCACGUUCAGGAAUUUGUAGUUUAAUAUCAGUGUUAUAGAAAGUGUACAUUUAAAUGGAAUAAUUGAGGUAAACAAUACUGAAACAUGUGGCAGAAGCGG